GCCAAACAAAUACCAGGAGGGAGACAGGGACCAAAACUCGAGCCCGAAGAGGCCGACACUCAGGCGGAGGCCGAGGGGCCCGGGACCCGGGCGCAGCCAGCCCGACGCUCCUGGCAGGACCGGGCAGGUUCCUGCGGGCGGCCCUGCGUCCUGCCACCGAGAACCCCAGAAACGCCGGACUCCCCGCGGCGGGGGGACGCGCAGAUCGCAGAGGAGCGGAAACAACUGAGGCAGGGAGGAGGAAAUACAGGGACAGACGGCGAGAGAAAGACCCUGUGCCCAGUGCUUUCGCUCCUAUCUUCAGGAGACGCGCGCUCUCCUCUAAGCUCCCAGCAGCCCCCGAAGGCGCCGCAGUCCAGUGCAGUAGCCACCACCACCACGUGUCUAUUGAGCAUUUGAAACAGGGCGAGUCUGCAGUGAGAUUUGCUGACGGUUUAAACACCUGUUUUUGAAGACUUAGGUCAGUAAAAAAAUAGAAUUUCUUAACCUGAUUACAUGUUGUAAUAAUAAUACUUUGGAUAUACCAGAUGGAAUAAAGUAUAUUAUCAACUUUA